UGGCUGUGAUGAUCAAAAUUAUACCAUCAAACUUUGAGAGCUUUAAAAAGCUCGUUGAUGUAAAAAUAAUUACUGAUUUCUGAGCCU